rnacentral:rRNA from 1 species
UAAGGUCAAAUGAACUAAGGCGUACGGUGGAGACCUAGGCACUCAGAGACGAAGAAGGGCGCAGAUACCGGCGAUACGCUUCGGGGAGCUGGCAACAAGCUUUGAUCCGAAGAUUCCCGAAUAGGGCAACCUCAUAGAACUACCUAUAUAAUUCAUAGUUAGGUAAGAGGCAACCCAGUGAACUGAAACAUCUAAGUAGCUGGAGGAAAAGAAAGCAAACGCGAUUCCCGUAGUAGCGGCGAGCGAACCGGGAAAUGGCCUAAACCUACAUCGCAAGAUGUAGGGGUCGUGGGAGGACAGUAAAAAAUAAAAAUUUUUAAUACGAAGCAGCUGAAUCCUGCACCAUAGAUGGUGAAAGUCCAGUAGUAAAAAGAAAAUUUGAUUUUUGUCUAAUCCCGAGUAGCAUGGGGCACGUGAAAUCCCGUGUGAAUCAGCGAGGACCACCUCGUAAGGCUAAAUACUCCUGAGUGACCGAUAGCGAAAUAGUACCACGAGGGAACGGUGAAAAGAACCCCUGUUGGGGAGUGAAAUAGAACAUGAAACCGUAUGCUGACAAGCAGUGGGAGCAAGAAUGCUUGUGACCGCGUGCCUGUUGAAGAAUGAGCCGGCGACUUAUAGGAAGUGGCUGGGUUAAGGAGUAAAAUCCGGAGCCCAAGCGAAAGCGAGUCUGAAUAGGGCUAUUAUUAGGUCACUUCUUAUGGACCCGAACCCGGGUGAUCUAUUCAUGGCCAGGAUGAAGCUUGGGUAACACCAAGUGGAGGUCCGAACCGACCGAUGUUGAAAAAUCGGCGGAUGAGCUGUGAAUAGGGGUGAAAUACCAAUCGAACUCGGAGCUAGCUGGAUCUCCCCGAAAUGCGUUGAGGCGCAGCGGUAACGAUGAACUAUCUCGGGGUAAAGCUACUGUUUCGAUGCGGGCUGCGAAAGUGGUACCAAGUCGUGGCAAACUCAGAAUACAAGAUAUGUCUUCCGUGAACCAGUGAGACUGUGGGGGAUAAGCUUCAUUGUCAAGAGGGAAACAGCCCAGAUCACCAGCUAAGGCCCCUAAAUGGUUACUAAGUGGAAAAGGAUGUGAGAAUGCUGAAACAACCAGGAGGUUUGCUUAGAAGCAGCCACCCUUCAAAGAGUGCGUAAUAGCUCACUGGUAAAGCGUUCUUGCGCCGAUAAUGGCCGGGACUAAGUGACCUGCCGAAGCUGUGAUAUAUUUUAUUUAUAAUAAAUUAUAGGUAGGGGAGCGUUCUGCUUUCGGGUGAAGUUUUCACGUAAGUGGGGAUGGACGAAGCGGAAGUGAGAAUGUCGGCUUGAGUAACGAAAACAUUGGUGAGAAUCCAAUGCCCCGAAAACCUAAGGGUUCCUCCACUAGGUUCGUCCAUGGGGGGUGAGUCAGGACCUAAGACUAGGCCGAAAGGCGUCGUCGAUGGAAAACAGGUUAAUAUUCCUGUACUAAUUAAAUUAUGAUCUGAGGGACGAAGGAGGCUAAACUAGAACUGUUUUUGGAUUGCAGUGGAAGCGUUUAGACGUUGAGAGAUAGCAAAAAAGCUAUUUUGAGUGGAGGCGUAAUCCCUAUUUAAUGGUUCGCUGUUGAGUAGCUAGUGAUGUCAUACUUCCAAGAAAAGCUCAUACAUCUUUAUAUUUUAAUUACCUGUACCUGAAACCGACACAGGUAGGUUGGUAGAGAAUACCAAGGGGCGCGAGAGAACUCUCUCUAAGGAACUCGGCAAACUGGCCCCGUAACUUCGGAAGAAGGGGCGCCCAAAAUUAAUUUUUUGGGUCGCAGUGACCCGGCCCAGGCGACUGUUUACCAAAAACACAGGUCUCCGCAAAGUCGUAAGACAAUAUAUGGGGGCUGACGCCUGCCCAGUGCCGGAAGGUUAAGGAAGUUGGUUAUUUCGCAAGAAAAAAGCUGACGACCGAAGCCCCGGUGAACGGCGGUCGUAACUAUAACGAUCCUAAGGUAGCGAAAUUCAUUGUCGAGUAAGUUUCGACCUGCACGAAAGGCGUAACGAUCUGGGCGCUGUCUCGGAGAGAGGCUCGGUGAAAUAGACUUGUCCCGUGAAGAUGCGGACUACCUACACCUGGACAGAAAGACCCUAUGAAGCUUGACUGUAUCUUGGAAUUGGGUUUGGGCUUUUCUUGCGCAGCCUAGGUGGGAGGCUAUGAAGAUUACCUUCCGGGGUAGUUGGAGCCGUCAUUGAGAGACCACUCUGGAAGAGCUAGAAUCCUAAUGGGGAUCCUUGAAUCGGGACCCUUGACAGUUUCAGGUGGGCAGUUUAUUUGGGGCGAAUGCCUCCUAAAAGGUAACGGAGGCGUGCAAAGGUUCCCUCAGUCUGGACGGAAAUCAGACAUUGAGUGUAAAGGCAAAAGGGAGCUUGACUGCAAGACCUACAAGUCGAGCAGGGGCGAAAGCCGGCCUUAGUGAUCCGACGGUGCCGAGUGGAAGGGCCGUCGCUCAACGGAUAAAAGUUACUCUAGGGAUAAAACAGGCUGAUCUUCCCCAAGAGUUCACAUCGACGGGAAGGUUUGGCACCUCGAUGUCGGCUCAUCACAUCCUCGGUCUGUAGUAGGUCCGAAGGGUUGGGCUGUUCGCCCAUUAAAGUGGUACGUGAGCUGGGUUCAAAACGUCGUGAGACAGUUUGGUCCAUAUCCGGUGUAGGCGUUAGAGCAUUGAGAGUAGCCUUUCAUAGUACGAGAGGACCUGAAAGGACAUGCCAAUUGUGUACCAGUUCUCAUUCCAAUGGGAAACGCUGGGUAGCUACGCAUGGAUAGAUAACUGCUGAAAGCAUCUAAGUAGGAAGCUAAACUCAAGAUGAGUGCUCUCUAAGGCCGCGGCUAGACAAGCCGUUAUAUAGGUAUCAGGUGUACAGUCAGCAAUGGCUUCAGCCGAGAUAUACUAAAGGCCGUUUGAUUUUGACCUU